UAUCUAUAUAAAAAUUAUAACCCUAAUUAUUGGCGUUGUGUGCAUAGAACCUGCUGCAAAGAUCCUCAAACCUCUACGGGAUAUCAGUUCUCCUGAAAAGGAGAAAGUCACUUUUGAAUGUGAGGUGUCAAGAGCAAAUGCUGAUGUCAAGUGGUUUAAGGAUGAUGAGGAACUGAAGCCAGGAAAGAAAUUUGGCAUCUAUUCCCAGGCCAACAAGCGCACCCUCAUCAUCCACAAGUGUGUAUAUGAAGACCAGGGCCAGUAUAUAUGUAGAACAACAGAUGACAAUACUUCGGCCAAGUUCACUGUUCACGCCAGAGAUAUUAAAAUAGUCAAGCCGCUGCAGGACGUGGAGGUGACAGAGAAGGAGAGUGCAACGUUUGUUUGUGAGGUCUCUCACGAUGAGGUCGAGGCUCAGUGGCACAAAGGAGAUGCCAAACUUAAAGCUGGAGACAACAUAAAGAUAAGGCAGGAGGGUAAAU